AUCCCUUGAAGCAGCUAGAGAUAGCUGUGUCCUUCGGGACGAAGGAGACAGGUGGUGGCAUGUUGUCGUCAGCUCGUGUCGUGAGAUGUUGGGUUAAGUCCCGCAACGAGCGCAACCCUCGACCUUAGUUGCCAGCAUUCAGUUGGGCACUCUAAGGUGACUGCCGGCUAAAAGUCGGAGGAAGGUGGGGAUGACGUCAAAUCAUCAUGCCCCUUAUGACCUGGGCUACACACGUGCUACAAUGGGCGGUACAAAGGGUCGCGAACCCGCGAGGGGGAGCCAAUCCCAAAAAGCCGCUCUCAGUUCGGAUUGCAGGCUGCAACUCGCCUGCAUGAAGCCGGAAUCGCUAGUAAUCGCGGAUCAGCACGCCGCGGUGAAUACGUUCCCGGGCCUU
rnacentral:rRNA from 1 species